rnacentral:lncRNA from 1 species
GAUCAGAGUGGUUCAGUAACCAGUGGAGUACCAAUGGCACGAGGAAGUCAGCUGGAGUCCAAGCUGCCGCCCCCGGAUAUCCGUCGUGUCAAGCUUUGUGUCUGCACACUUGGUGUAGCACUUGCGGGCCUGCAGAGACUGACGCUGUUGAUAUAUGUCAUCUCCUCUGAGUGCCAGUUGGCCAAGCUUCCUCGGAUGCGAAUGACGAACAGGCAGCCUCUGACAGUCCCGAGACGGAGCGGAAUGGCUAAAUGACAACCCCAAUGCUCCUGAAGAAGGAAGAAUGAUGGAGAAAUGGAGAGAGAAUGGUUUCUUUAAGUUGAAAUUACGAGAUAGUAAAGGAAGACACCAGUUGUUUUUUCAUUAAUUAUCGGUUUCUUCUACUUUUAGCUGAUAUAAAUAAAUGGCCUGUUGUGU